CCUACGGGAGGCAGCAGUGAGGAAUAUUGGUCAAUGGUCGAGAGACUGAACCAGCCAAGCAGCGUGAAGGAUGACGGUCCAAUGUGUCGUAAACCUCUUUUAUCUGGGAAUAAAAUCUUCGACGUGUCGCCGUUUGCAUGUACCUUAUGAAUAAGCAUCGGCUAACUCCGUGCCAGCAGCCGCGGUAAUACGGAGGAUGCGAGCGUUAUCCGGAUUUAUUGGGUUUAAAGGGGGCGGAGGUGGUUUGUUAAGUCAGUUGUGAAAGGCUGGGGCUCAACCCUAGAAUUGCAGUUGAAACUGGCAGUCUCGAGUACGAGAGAGGUAGGCGGAAUGCGUGGUGUAGCGGUGAAAUGCAUAGAUAUCGCGAAGAACUCCGAUUGCGAAGGCAGCACGCUGGA
rnacentral:rRNA from 1 species